GAUGAACGCUGGCGGCAUGCCUAACACAUGCAAGUCGAACGGGAUCCGGACUUCGGUCCGGUGAGAGUGGCGGACGGGUGAGUAACACGUGGGAACCUGCCUUUUGGUUCGGGAUAACCGCGGGAAACUGCGGCUAAUACCGGAUGCUCCCGAGAGGGAAAGAUUUAUCGCCAGAAGAGGGGCCCGCGUCCGAUUAGGUAGUUGGUGGGGUAAUGGCCUACCAAGCCGACGAUCGGUAGCUGGUCUGAGAGGAUGAUCAGCCACACUGGGACUGAGAUACGGCCCAGACUCCUACGGGAGGCAGCAGUGGGGAAUAUUGGACAAUGGGGGCAACCCUGAUCCAGCAAUGCCGCGUGAGUGAUGAAGGCCUUAGGGUUGUAAAGCUCUUUUGCCAGGGAAGAUGAUGACUGUACCUGGAGAAUAAGCCCCGGCUAACUUCGUGCCAGCAGCCGCGGU
rnacentral:rRNA from 1 species